rnacentral:rRNA from 1 species
CACGUAGGGCGCAAGCGUUGUCCGGAAUUAUUGGGCGUAAAGAGCUCGUAGGCGGUCUGUUGCGUCUGCCUGUGAAAAUCCGGGGCUCAACCCCGGACUUGCAGUGGGUACGGGCAGACUAGAGGUAGGUAGGGGAGAAUGGAAAUUCCCAGUGUAGAGGUGAAAUUCGUAGAUAUUGGGAAGAACACCGGUGGCGAAGGCGGCUCACUGGCUCGAUAUCUGACGCUCGAGGCGCGACAGCGUGGGGAUCAAACAGG